rnacentral:rRNA from 1 species
UACAGAGGGUGCGAGCGUUAAUCGGAAUUACUGGGCGUAAAGCGCACGUAGGCGGAUUUGUUAGUCAGGGGUGAAAUCCCGGGGCUCAACCUCGGAACUGCCUUUGAUACUGCAAAUCUCGAGUCCGGAAGAGGUGGGUGGAAUUCCUAGUGUAGAGGUGAAAUUCGUAGAUAUUCGGAGGAACACCAGUGGCGAAGGCGGCUCACUGGUCCAUUACUGACGCUGAGGUGCGAAAGCGUGGGGAGCAAACAGG